CAGUCGCCGCGGUAAUACGAAGGGGGCUAGCGUUGUUCGGAUUUACUGGGCGUAAAGCGCACGUAGGCGGACUUUUAAGUCAGGGGUGAAAUCCCGGGGCUCAACCCCGGAACUGCCUUUGAUACUGGAAGUCUUGAGUAUGGUAGAGGUGAGUGGAAUUCCGAGUGUAGAGGUGAAAUUCGUAGAUAUUCGGAAGAACACCAGUGGCGAAGGCGGCUCACUGGACCAUUACUGACGCUGAGGUGCGAAAGCGUGGGGAGCAAACAGGAUUAGAUACCCCUGUAGUCCCUGUCUCUUAUAC
rnacentral:rRNA from 1 species